rnacentral:rRNA from 1 species
UACGAAGGGUGCAAGCGUUACUCGGAAUUACUGGGCGUAAAGCGUGCGUAGGUGGUGAGUUAAGUCUGAUGUGAAAUCCCCGGGCUCAACCUGGAAUGGCAUUGGAUACUGGCUCGCUCGAGUGCGGUAGAGGGUGGUGGAAUUCCCGGUGUAGCAGUGAAAUGCGUAGAGAUCGGGAGGAACAUCUGUGGCGAAGGCGGCCACCUGGACCAGCACUGACACUGAGGCACGAAAGCGUGGGGAGCAAACAGG